rnacentral:rRNA from 1 species
GAUGAACGCUGGCGGCGUGCCUAAUACAUGCAAGUCGAGCGAACAGACGAGGAGCUUGCUCCUCUGACGUUAGCGGCGGACGGGUGAGUAACACGUGGAUAACCUACCUAUAAGACUGGGAUAACUUCGGGAAACCGGAGCUAAUACCGGAUAAUAUAUUGAACCGCAUGGUUCAAUAGUGAAAGACGGUUUUGCUGUCACUUAUAGAUGGAUCCGCGCCGCAUUAGCUAGUUGGUAAGGUAACGGCUUACCAAGGCGACGAUGCGUAGCCGACCUGAGAGGGUGAUCGGCCACACUGGAACUGAGACACGGUCCAGACGCCGACGGGAGGCAGCAGUAGGGAAUCUUCCGCAAUGGGCGAAAGCCUGACGGAGCAACGCCGCGUGAGUGAUGAAGGUCUUCGGAUCGUAAAACUCUGUUAUUAGGGAAGAACAAAUGUGUAAGUAACUAUGCACGUCUUGACGGUACCUAAUCAGAAAGCCACGGCUAACUACGU